UCCCUGGUGGUCCAGUGGUUAGGAAUCUGCGCUUUUGCUGCAGAGGGCUCAGGUUCAAUCCCUGGUCGGGGAA